GAUGAACGCUGGCGGCGUGCCUAAUACAUGCAAGUCGAGCGAACAGACGAGGAGCUUGCUCCUUCGACGUUAGCGGCGGACGGGUGAGUAACACGUAGGUAACCUACCUAUAAGACUGGGAUAACUUCGGGAAACCGGAGCUAAUACCGGAUAAUAUUUCGAACCGCAUGGUUCGAUAGUGAAAGAUGGCUUUGCUAUCACUUAUAGAUGGACCUGCGCCGUAUUAGCUAGUUGGUAAGGUAACGGCUUACCAAGGCAACGAUACGUAGCCGACCUGAGAGGGUGAUCGGCCACACUGGAACUGGGACACGGUCCAGACUCCUACGAGAGGCAGCAGUAGGGUAUCUUCCGCAAUGGGCGAAAGCCUGACGGAGCAACGCCGCGUGAGUGAUGAAGGUCUUCGGAUCGUAAAACUCUGUUAUUAGGGAAGAACAAACGUGUAAGUAACUGUGCACGUCUUGACGGUACCUAAUCAGAAAGCCACGGCUAACUACGUG
rnacentral:rRNA from 1 species